CUUGGUCAUUUAGAGGAAGUAAAAGUCGUAACAAGGUUUCCGUAGGUGAACCUGCGGAAGGAUCAUUACAGAGUUCCUGCCCUCACGGGUAGAAACCCCACCCUUGUGUAUUAUAUAUUGUUGCUUUGGCGGGCCGCCCUCACGGGCACCGGCUCACGCUGGCUCGCGCCCGCCGAAGGACCCCAAACUCUGAAGUAUAGUGUCGUCUGAGUACUAUUUAAUAGUUAAAACUUUCAACAACGGAUCUCUUGGCUCUCGCAUCGAUGAAGAACGCAGCGAAAUGCGAUAAGUAAUGUGAAUUGCAGAAUUCAGUGAAUCAUCGAAUCUUUGAACGCACCUUGCACCCUUUGGUAUUCCGAAGGGUAUGCUCGUUUGAGUGUCAUUGUACUCUCACACUUCUGAUCCUUUGGACCGGGAGCGGUGGACUUGGGUGUUGCUGCUUUACUGCGGCUCACCUCAAAUGCAUUAGUGCAACUCUUGGUUGGACAUAGUACGGCGUGAUAAGUGUCUUCGCCGGCACCUCGCAAGAGGGUGGCUGAUCAGGAGCUCUGUGCUUUCGAACUGUCUUCGGACAACAACUGACAACUUGACCUCAAAUCGAGUAGGACCACCCGCUUGACUUAAGCAUAUCAAUAAGCGGAGGA
rnacentral:rRNA from 1 species